UGCCCUCAGUCCCACACCUAUUCCUGAUUAUCACUAGCCAGUAUUUAAGUAAUUUUCUUUCUGUUCAUCAGUCUGGGAACUUUGCUUUCAUUGCCGUUCAUACUUCAUGCCAUGCUUUUCGAUUCAUCCACGCCAACAUCGCCGGUAAAAUGUGCGGACCAAACGAGGGAUUUUCGCAUCUCUUGACACUGGAGCAACUUAAAUCUGUCGAUUGCUUCUCAGGCAAAUCGAAGGGGGCAACAGCCUAAGCAGGGAAACCCAAACUUUCCUCUCCCCAGCCACUUCGUCCAGCUCUUCCCGGGGGAUCCCGAGGCAUUCCGAGGCCAGCCAGGAGACAUAGUCUUCCCAACGUGUCCUGGGUCUUCCCCGUGGCCUCCUACCGGUCGGACGUGCCCUAAACACCUCCCUGGGGAGGCGUUCAAGUGGAAUCCUGACCAGAUGCCCGAACCACCUCAUCUGGCUCCUCUCCACCUCGGAUAAGCGGAAGAAGAUGGAUGAUGUACAAUAAAUGCCCAUAUCGAUAUGUUCAGAUUUACUUUACAAAAGAGAAAUGUAGGAUACUUCUCUUGUUGCCUUAUUUGUGUUUGACUUUAUUAAAUGUAUUUACAUUA